AGAGUUUGAUCCUGGCUCAGAACGAACGCUGGCGGCGUGCUUAACACAUGCAAGUCGAACGUGAUUCAGAGCUUGCUCUGAUGAAAGUGGCGCACGGGUGAGUAACGCGUGGAUAACCUGCCCUGGUAUCUGGGAUAACAUCUCGAAAGGGGUGCUAAUACCGGAUAAGCCUACGGGCUCUUCGGAGUCUGCAGGAAAAGGAGGCCUCUAUUUAUAAGCUUCCGUAUCAUGAUGGGUCCGCGUACCAUUAGCUAGUUGGUGGGGUAAUGGCCUACCAAGGCGACGAUGGUUAGCUGGUCUGAGAGGAUGAUCAGCCACACUGGAACUGAGACACGGUCCAGACUCCUACGGGAGGCAGCAGUGGGGAAUUUUGCGCAAUGGGGGAAACCCUGACGCAGCAACGCCGCGUGAGUGAUGAAGGCUUUCGGGUCGUAAAGCUCUGUCAGAGGGGAAGAAAUGAAACGUGCUAAUAUCACGGCUUCUUGACGGUACCCUCAAAGGAAGCACCGGCUAACUCCGUGCCAGCAGCCGCGGUAAUAC
rnacentral:rRNA from 2 species